rnacentral:lncRNA from 1 species
AAUUUGACUCUAAUUGAAUUUAAUCUUAUUUUAAAAUAUUAAGAAUAGUUCAAGAUCACUUUAAAGAUAAUUCCUAUGAGGAGAUUGAUGGUUAAAUACGAAUCGGAGACUCGGAUGUAUGGCGGAGAUCGUUUCCUACCAUAAUUGAGAUUAUAGAGUUAUAUAAGCUCUUAUAAUUAAUCUUUAGCUACCGUUCGGUUCGGGGUUAAGGAAAAACUAGUUAUUCCAGGAAUUGGAUUAAGUUCAGGAUUGAGGUAGGGUUAGAGUAUUUUUGUGUUUGGUUGGGGGUUGGAGUUAGUCCAGAAUAGUGAAAAAUAGUGUUUGGUUAGAGUAGAUGAGAUAAGAAGGAUAGUGGGUUAUUAUAAAUAGAAAAUAGUGUUUGGUUGAGGUUUGAUGGGGUUAGGUGGGAUUAGCUAACUCAGGAUAGCAUAUUUGAGGUGGGGUUAGCUAACUCAGGAUAGCAUAUUUGAGGUGGGGUUAGCUAACCCCACCCAUUUUUGAAGACAUUUGGAGAUAAUAUGAGGGUUAAGAAAUUAAUCCACCUCUUAACCCCCAACCAAACAAAGGCAACUCGUUGUUUGAGGUUUAUUGUGAGAGCUUCAUUGUAGACACUCUAAUUGAGAGGAAAACGUAGAGAGCUCCUGAGAGAGAGAAUUUUUUGUAAUCCAAUCUUACUCCUUAUAUUUUUGUGUCGUGAAUUAAUUGAAGAACACAUGAGGUGAUCUUGUUUGUGGAUGUAUGUCUACUCAUCGUUGGCCGAACAACGUAAAUCUUGUAUUAUUGUAUUCUUUUGUUUUAUUUUAUUACGUUGUUAUUCUCGUGUUUAUUUUCUACGAUCGUUUUCCUCUAUAAAAGGUCAUAUUUUCGCUGUACUCAUAUGUUGUGUGGGUUUGAA